UAAGAUUCCAGGACCUCUGAUGGCUGAUUUCAUCUUCAAGCUCAAUUCUGCUGAAUGUGUGGAUAUCCGCUUGAAGAGGGUAGUUCCUGACCAUUAUUGUCACUACUACCCUGAAAAUGUAAAACCAAAACCAAAACUGAAGGAAUGCAGCGUGGAUCCCUGCCCAUCAAGGUUUGUGUCAUUGUCCACACCCUUUUUACUUCAAAAAGAAACAAAUCAGCUUCACCUGAGACUGAUCAAUCUUUGCAGGGCAAUACAUUUCCAUUUCGUGACUUUGUCUCCUGGCGGCAGGUGCCUACGUUCACAUUUGUAACUAUGGUGCAUAGAAGUGAGGACACAUUCAUUAGGAAUGAAAGUCUAGCUUUCUCUUGUCGUGGGCUGUGUGUUCCUAAGUUUUUAUAAUGAACCUUUUUGAACAUCUCCUGCUCUCUUCAUCCAAGUAAUACGUCUAGUCCAUCUGCCAAUCAUAAAUAUCUUUCACUCACCAUUUUAGCUUUUAAACUGGGUCACCCAUUAUCAUGUUUUGGCUUUUGAAGUAUUCCUAUUAAAUUCAGUAUAAAUAAUGCAUUGUGCAAGGAAGUAAAAUUUUAAUGCCAAAGCAAAAAAGCUAUGCAUAAACUAUCCUAUUGCAUAAUUUAGUACCUGCUGACUUGGAUUGCCUGGGGAAGUUUCCUGGCUUACUACAAUACCUUAAAAUAACAGAACAAUAUCAAGUCCCAUAAUCCUCCAGAUAUCUGCCAGCUGGCUUAGGAAGAAGUGUGCAAGUGGAAAAGGAAGCGUUCUCAGUGGAUUUCAUUUCCUGUUACUAAACUGCCCAUUUCCUCUGGGAACAUAAUCCUUGGACUGCAUGUUCCGUGUCCUGUGGAGGAGGGAUUCGGAGACGGAGCUUUGUGUGUGUGGAGGAAUCCAUGCAUGGAGAGAUAUUGCAGGCGGAAGAAUGGAAGUGCAUGUACGCACCCAAACCCAAGGUUAUGCAAACUUGUAAUCUGUUUGAUUGCCCCAAGUGGAUUGCUAUGGAGGGGUCUCAGUGCAUGGUGACUUGUGGCUGAGGGUUACGGUACCGGGUUGUUGUGUGUAUUAACCACCGUGGAGAGCAUGUUGGGGGCUGCGAUCCACAACUGAAGUUACACGUCAAAGAAGAAUGUGUCAUUUCCAUCCCGUGUUAUAAACCAAAAGAAAAAAAGUCCAGUGGAAGCGAAAUUGCCUUGGCUGAAACAAGCACAAGAACUAGAAGAGACCAGAAUAGCAACAGAAGAACCAACGUUCUUCCGGGACCUUUUGUGGGAGUAAUCAGGGCAUAGCCAGUUAACAUGAUAUAUGUAAUUUUUGUACUCAUUGGAGUACAGUGAUACAUUUAAUAUCCAAAUGACCUGUAUUUACAGACUCUAGAGAGCUUGAGCUGGCUAGAAUUUUUCUUUAUUUCACAAUUCAGCAGUCCUCCUUUGGCAGUUUCUCUGAGCAGCACAGAAAAGACAGUGUUACUUAACUCAAAGCAGAUCCAGUGGUCUGCUACCCUUAAGAGAUUGGGGAUAAUUUCUAGGUUUUAACACAUGUGAUUUGACCAUGAACCAUCAUAUAUCAUACAAAUAAACCAAUCAUUCCAUGGGUAAGUCAUGGUCAGUCUCUAUAAAAUCAGUUAAGUUGAAAUGCAUUAGUCGCCUGAGUGAUCAUAGGGAAAUGGAAAGAACAAGGUACUAAGAGUAUUGGAGCUUAGAACCACCCCUGCUAACUACAUGACCUUAGACAAGUCUAAUUUUUCUGUGUCUUAUUCUCCUUACCUAUAAAAGGAGCAGGUUGGGCUUGAUCUCUCCAGGGUUCAUUCCAACUUAAAAAUCCAAUAACUACCAUCUGCAUGUGAUUUGAUGGAUCUGGAUUGUAACAGUGCCAGUGGAAAUUAAGAAUCAAGAGGAAAUCAAAGAAGCAUUCUGGAGUUGCAUGCUGCCAUUAGUCACCAGGUUGACCCGGAAUUCCUUGGUUUAGGUCUGGGCAGCAUCCUCCUGAACAGCCUGAAGCAGACGGUGGUGACCCUGGCCAGCAGCACAGGCGUGCUGAGCACCGUGCAUUCAGCCUCCCAGGCCAUGCUGCAGAGUGGCUGGUCCGUGCUGCUGCCCACCACUGAGAAGCAGGCCCGGGCGCUCUCUGCUCUCCUGCCCUGCGCAGUUCAGUUUCAGGCAAUGAAGUGAACAUAAGUCCAGGUCGUCGAUUCAUGAUUGAUCUUCUGGUGGGCAGCUUGAUGGCUGCUGGAGGGUUGGAGUCAGCCUUACAUGCAGCCAUUACUGCAGAGAUCCAGGAUAUUGAAGCCAAAAAAGA